CUCGUAGGCGGCUCUGUGAGUCAGGCGUGAAAUUCCUGGGCUUAACCUGGGGACUGCGCUUGAUGCUGCAGGGCUUGAGGCCGAGAGAGGGUGGUGGAAUUCCCAGUGUAGAGGUGAAAUUCGUAGAUAUUGGGAAGAACACCGGUGGCGAAGGCGACCACCUGGCUCGGUACUGACGCUGAGGCGCGACAGCGUGGGAGCAAACA
rnacentral:rRNA from 1 species